AGUGAGGCUUUCGGACUGAUCUAGGGCGGGGUUCAUUCGCCGCCUCUGGUCGGAAAGUUAUCCAAACUCGGUCAUUUAGAGGAAGUAAAAGUCGUAACAAGGUCUCCGUUGGUGAACCAGCGGAGGGAUCAUUACUGAGUUUACGCUCUACAACCCUUUGUGAACAUACCUAUAACUGUUGCUUCGGCGGGUAGGGUCUCCGCGACCCUCCCGGCCUCCCGCCUCCGGGCGGGUCGGCGCCCGCCGGAGGAUAACCAAACUCUGAUUUAACGACGUUUCUUCUGAGUGGUACAAGCAAAUAAUCAAAACUUUUAACAACGGAUCUCUUGGUUCUGGCAUCGAUGAAGAACGCAGCGAAAUGCGAUAAGUAAUGUGAAUUGCAGAAUUCAGUGAAUCAUCGAAUCUUUGAACGCACAUUGCGCCCGCCAGCAUUCUGGCGGGCAUGCCUGUUCGAGCGUCAUUUCAACCCUCAAGCUCUGCUUGGUGUUGGGGCCCUACAGCCGAUGUAGGCCCUCAAAGGUAGUGGCGGACCCUCCCGGAGCCUCCUUUGCGUAGUAACUUUACGUCUCGCACUGGGAUCCGGAGGGACUCUUGCCGUAAAACCCCCCAAUUUUCCAAAGGUUGACCUCGGAUCAGGUAGGAAUACCCGCUGAACUUAAGCAUAUCAAUAAGCGGAGGAAAAGAAACCAACAGGGAUUGCCUCAGUAACGGCGAGUGAAGCGGCAACAGCUCAAAUUUGAAAUCUGGCCCCAGGCCCGAGU
rnacentral:rRNA from 1 species